AACGUAGGUACCGAGCGUUAUCCGGAAUUACUGGGCGUAAAGCGCACGUAGGCGGCUCUUUAAGUCGGGGGUGAAAUCCUGGAGCUCAACUCCAGAACUGCCUUCGAUACUGGAGACCUUGAGUCCGGGAGAGGUGAGUGGAAUUGCGAGUGUAGAGGUGAAAUUCGUAGAUAUUCGCAAGAACACCAGUGGCGAAGGCGGCUCACUGGCCCGGAACUGACGCUGAGAUGCGAAAGCGUGGGGAGCAAACAGG
rnacentral:rRNA from 1 species